AGUGAACGCUGGCGGUAGGCCUAACACAUGCAAGUCGAACGGCAGCACAGUAAGAGCUUGCUCUUACGGGUGGCGAGUGGCGGACGGGUGAGGAAUACAUCGGAAUCUACUUUUUCGUGGGGGAUAACGUAGGGAAACUUACGCUAAUACCGCAUACGACCUACGGGUGAAAGCAGGGGAUCUUCGGACCUUGCGCGAUUGAAUGAGCCGAUGUCGGAUUAGCUAGUUGGCGGGGUAAAGGCCCACCAAGGCGACGAUCCGUAGCUGGUCUGAGAGGAUGAUCAGCCACACUGGAACUGAGACACGGUCCAGACUCCUACGGGAGGCAGCAGUGGGGAAUAUUGGGCAAGGGGCGCAAGCCUGAUCCAGCCAUACCGCGUGGGUGCAGAAGGCCUUCGGGUUGUAAAGCCCUUUUGUUUGGAAAGAAAAGCAGCAGGUUAAUACCCCGCUGUUCUGACGGUACCCAAAGAAUAAGCACCGGCUAACUUCGUG
rnacentral:rRNA from 1 species